ensembl:lncRNA
UAACAGUAAGUAAAUUAGGCCAAAGAGUUUCUGGGAUUCCUAGGGAAAAGAUUACACUUUCAGAGUGGCCAAUCACAGUCAUCUGCUUCGCACGCUUUCAUAAAGUGAAGAGUCAUGGAAUAAAGUUGGAUCAAAUGGAAGAUAUGAACCAUAAUGAGGUUCUUUACAGUCUCGCUGCCGCAUCUCAUCCAAAACAUCCUUGAGAAGCAAAGUCUGCUCAGUGAUUUGGGACGAGAGGGCAGCAAGCUGGCGAGAUGUACUAUUCUGAGCAGCGAUCAGCUGUUUCAGGAAGUCGCAGUUGCUGAAUGGACCUGCUGCCCCGUCACCUUGCUCAUUAUUCGCCGGUGCAGAAAUACCCAAUUUCCUUCUGCACGAGCAAUCUGAUUUAGAAGAAAUGUUAAUUAAACUCCUUAUUUAAAAAUCACACUACAAUCCAUCACCUGCUGCUCUUCCACAGUACUAAAGCAAUCAUUAAAUAAAGAACGUAGCCAGGUCAAUACCAUCCUCCCAGUUCACACUCAUCUCUUUAAAUAUUAAAUAUGACUGAGCUUGGUCACAUUUCUAGUUUCCACUUGCAUUAUUUUUACAGAUGAGAGUUCUAUUAUUUGGCACAGCUGUAAUCCAAACUACAUUGUGGAUUAAAAAAAUAAAAUUGUGAUGAUAAUCAUCCAAUACACCGAGGGGAAAUAAGAAUUUGGACACUUUUGUUUUUGUUAUUUAAUAUAUUCCAGUGCAUAUAUUCUCACACAGCGGACCUCCUUUAUCAAGCAGGACACGAACGGAUUUAUGCGCAAAUCAUUCACAUGAAAUUUGGUUUUCAUGAAAAUCCAAUGGAUGCUAUAAAAAAAAAAAGCUUUCGUAUCACACUCGUGCUCUCAAGUGCGUGUACAUUUACACAUAAGAAGACUAACUAAUGUAAACCUUGACUUGAUCGACUUCAAUCAUAAUUUGCAUGGAUUACUGGACUUUUAUAUCUGGAAUAUACUGUCGAGUUUAAAUUGCUUUAUUUUAUUUUUUUUAUGUUUACCACGUUUAGUAAACGUCCUUAUCCAGAGUAACUUAUCGAAGUGUUUUGGAGUCUCUAUAAGGGAUGGACGAUGUGUACUUAAAACUAGACCACGAUAUUUUCUGGUAUUUUAUUGCGAUAACGAUAUCAGUGACGAUAUCAAUAUAGUAUCAUGCACCACUGUUUUCGGCUACAGGUGAUAGCUGUGCUCUUGAGAGCCUCAGAAACGCAAACAGUGAUCUAAAACUAAAACAAAUUUUCUCUAACCAAACCAGUUCCAGAUUGUAGAGGUACAGUAGCUCCUCGUUGAGCCAUAAACUCCUCCUCAGCUUCACAUCCGCUUCCGCCGUAUUUGUUUUCGCUCUGCACGUGAGCUGCGAACGGGUUGCAGACCGCCGCAUGCAGAAACACGUCAUCGACUAGGCUUUAUCAUGAUCAUCACUAGAAGACUGAUUCUUAUUGUGGGGAGAAUUUCAACCGGUAUAUCGCAAACGAUCCAUCCCAUCCCUAAUCUCUAUGAAGAACACAUCCUCAUGCUAGUUCAUUAAGUCAGGGACUACGAGUACCAUUGAGAACAUUUUGUGAAAACCAGUUGUUUUAUAUUCUUUAAUUAAUGCCAAUAAUAUAAAAGAAUAAUGAAAGCAAGCUAACACAGGAGAUGAGGUCAUAGGUACCCUGAAGAGGAUAAGCAGUAUAGUAGAUGGAUGGAUGGAUGGAUGAGGUCAUAGGUAAAGUUUCCUUCUGAUGACUCUUCCAUGCAGAUCAUGUGUAUGCAAGCAAUGCUGCUGAGAAGAACAGUGCACCACCACUCCUGUGUCAGCAAAACCAAGUCCUUAGUGUCAUAUUUGGGUUUCGCUUUACCUUUCUACCCAGCAUACAGCCAGUUCUAUAUAAAGUUUUCCUUUUGCUCCUAUGCUCUGAGAACAAACCAAACUUCCAUCACCAUCCCAAGCCAAAUUACAUUAGCCGAAUCUCUGAACAAGUUAAAGGCGCACACAGUAAGACAACCGGUAACGAAAAACAGCAUGUCAGCCAGGAAUUUCCAUGAAAUUUCAUAGCGCUUCAUACUCUUAUGUCCUCAGACGUGAGGUUUGGAAUUUCCAUGUAACCCGAUUCUGUAUUUUCCCCCAUAAAUCUUUCAGUGGAAGUUUACAAGCUUUACACUUUUUUCUAGAAUAUGCUUCUUUUCAUGCAGUGCAUCCUUUAACAGUUUCUUUUUGUUGUAUUUUUGGAGCUAUUUUAGUCAAGGCGAUUUUCACCGGAUAUCUCAAGUUUCUCAAGUCUUUUGUGUUGGUUGCUAAAACCAAAUUUUAAUCCAUUAUUUUCUACAUUUGGAUCCCAUUUAGACCCUGCAUUACCACACAACCUGCAUGCACAACAAUCGAUUCAAUCUGAUAUGCAUCUGAUGUUUAUAUGCGUUCUCAUUGUGUCGUCAUACCUCAUUAUAACUAUACUUCAUAUCUCCUAAAAUAAUCCACAUCAGCAAAAAUGCUGUUCUUUUCUGUCUUAUUUAGGGAUUCAUUUAUAUCUUUUCUUUUGACCGAGUACAAGUAUGUUCUUCAGUACUCUUUGAUACGGAUGCAAAUAUCUUACCUAGCAUUAAGAGAACAUCUUAGUUAGCUCUAUUUAUGUUAAUUGCUGCUGUGUGCUGCUAGCGAUGAAAUCCUCCUGUUGAGUUUUACAUGGACAAUGUUAUGGCGUUUAAACGGUAUCUUUAAUAGAGAGUGCACAGAGCAGUAUCAGAGAAAUGAGCACAAGGUGCCAUGAAUUACGCCUUGAGUCACAAGCAAAGUGUAGACACUGGUAGACAUGGUAUCAGUCAGUGGGGAAAAAAGGUCUCAGUGCUCGCAGACCUGGAGUGCUCGGACAGUUUCUCUGCACGCUCACUUCACUGCUGCAUGCUUGUGUAUAUCUAUAUGUGCGCACGGUUCAAAGCACCUUGCAGUUAUUUUAAUGACCAUGCUCACAGAUACUGCUCUGUAUACUCAGGACAAUCACUCUUGUAACCUCUCAAUUUAGGAUACUGUUUAAAUAGCAUGAAGAUUUUAUAUCAGGUUACUUGUAUUGUAGGAAGAUGUUGUAGUUCAUCCUCUUGAUAUUUCCACAGAGCACAGUUUGCAGUCUUCUUUGCCAUGAUUGACAUCAAUUAUGACUGCUGUUAUUUAGAGGUCGACCGAUUGAUCGGUUUUGCAGAUUAAUAGACACAGAUAAUCGAUUUCUGGAACUAUCGGUUACCUGCAAAAAUCCACACCAAUAGUUUUCCCAGUUGUGUCUGUUGAAGGAGCGGUUGAGAAAGGUCAGCUGUCAUUAUACAGUACAAGAGCGGCCUCUAGAGGCGAAAUAAAAAGUAUCAAUGACAAAUAUUGUUGUGUUAUUUUCAGUGUUUUUUAUUCAUUUUGGAGGCCUCUAUUUUUAUUUAUGUUAAUUUUGUUUCAGUUUAGAUGUACAUCUUUAAUUUACUGUAAAAUUUAUUAGUAGUUAUAUACAUGUUGAGUUAUUUUGAGGGGACAGCAAAUUUACACUGUUAUACAAGCUGUACACUCACUACAUUACAUUGUAGCAAACUGUCAUUUCUUCAGUGUUGUCACAUGAAAAAAUAAUCAAAUAUUUACAAAAAUGUGAGGGGAUUACUCACUUUU